GCCUACGGGGGGCAGCAGUAAGGGAUAUUGGUCAAUGGGGGAAACCCUGAACCAGCAACGCCGCGUGAGGGAAGACGGUUUUCGGAUUGUAAACCUCUGUCCUCUGUGAAGAUGAUGACGGUAGCAGAGGAGGAAGCUCCGGCUAACUACGUGCCAGCAGCCGCGGUAAUACGUAGGGAGCGAGCGUUGUCCGGAUUUACUGGGUGUAAAGGGCGUGUAGGCGGGAAUGCAAGUCAGAUGUGACAACUAUGGGCUCAACCCAUAGCCUGCAUUUGAAACUGUCUUUCUUGAGUGCUG
rnacentral:rRNA from 1 species